rnacentral:lncRNA from 1 species
CCGCCGCCAGGUACGUCGGGAACCCAAGCCUUGAGCCCCAGAGACGGAAACUCUGUUCUAGAGUUCCCAGGGUGACGAAUGACACAUCCGGGAGAAUCGACCGAGCUAAUCCCUCAUUUCCUUCCCGUUUCCCCCUUCACCCAUCACCCUGGAUCGCAUGAUGGGUCUGCCCUGGCCGCCGCUUGAUAGUGGAGGGGAGGAAAAAAAGCCUUUUUCCUCUACCCACCUUGGGUUCUCCGGCUGGGGCCCGGGAAAUUGAACUAACAAAAGACAGGCGAGCCGGACAAGGGCAAAACAGACAGAAGUGUAUUAAGGGUGCGAGCGGAAGCCCUCAGGCAAGUGAAACCCGGGCUUCUUAACAAAAGAACAACAUUUGGGGAGAAGUUGACAACUUAAAGGAAAAGGACUUUGAGCUUCUACAGGCAGCAAAUGAUGGGAAGGUAAGUAUAUGGGGACACUAGUGGUAGGUGAGGGCUAGUCUUAAUUUUUUAAAUGUUUGUUUAUUUUGAAAGAGAGAGAGAGAGAGAGAGUGCAAGCAUGAGCAGGGGAGGGGGACAGAGGUGGGGGGGGACAAAGGAUUCAAAGUGGGCUCCACGCUGACAGCAGGGAGCCCGACCUGGGGCUUGAACUCACGGGAACUGGGAGAUCGUGACCUGAGCGGAAUCGGAUACUUAACCAACUGAACCACGCAGGUGCCCCCCGAGGGCUAGUGUUUACCUGGGUUCGUUAUGCAAAUGUCUCCUUGGUGAUAAGGGUCUAGAGUUGUCUUCAGUGAUUAACUUCUGUCCUUCCUGGCAUCAGGGGAGGGGAGACGCCUUUGCAAAUUUCUGUCUUACUUGUUAAGCAAGUAGGGAAAAGGCAGAGAGUUUUUCUCUAAUCUGUUUCUUCUCAGUUGCCCUCAGGUCGAAAUAGUCCUUAUGCCAAAGUGGCAUAUUUUGGGAUGACACAUUCUGCUACCUUCAAUAAUCAGGCCAUUUUAAAUAAGUGUAACCUUAUUCUGCUAUAAGAAUUAUGGCCAGGGAGGGGGACAAAACAUAAGAGACUCUUUACUUUUAUUAUUAUUUUUUUUAAUUCUUUUUUUUUUUAAUUUUUCUUAAUGUUUAUUUUUGAGACACGGAGAGACAGAACAUGAAUGGGGAAGGGUCAGAGAGAGAGGUAGACACAGAAUCCGAAAUGGGCUCCAGGCUCUGAGCUGUCAGCACAGAGCCCCCCACAGACUGUGAGAUCAUGACCUGAGCCGGAGUCGGAAGCUUAAACUGACUGAGCCACCCAGGCGCCCCAAUAAGAGUCUCUUAAAUUUAGGAAACAGAGGGUUGCUGGAGGGGUUGUGGGAAGGGGGAUGGGCUAAAGGGGGAUGGGCUUAAUGGGUAAGGGGCGUUAAGGAAUCUACUUCUGAAAUCAUUGUUGCACUAACUUGGAUGUAAAUUUUAAAUUUUUUUUUCAACGUUUUUUAUUUAUUUUUGGGACAGAGAGAGACAGAGCAUGAACAGGGGAGGGGCAGAGAGAGAGGGAGACACAGAAUCGGAAACAGGCUCCAGGCUCCGAGCCAUCAGCCCAGAGCCUGACGCGGGGCUCGAACUCACGGACCGCGAGAUCGUGACCUGGCUGAAGUCGGACGCUUAACCGACUGCGCCACCCAGGCGCCCUGUUGGAUGUAAAUUUUAAAAUAAAUUAAUUAUUUUUAAAAAUUAAACAUAAAAAAAGAAUUAUAGCCAUACAUUUCCCCCAAAGUCUCUAGUAAUUGGAUAUGCAUAUCACGCAAGUUAAUGUUGAGUAUCAUUUCCCUUGGUGAACCCCUAUCCAUCUUUCACAACCCAGAAGGGGUCACAACCAAGCUAAGAAAUUAAGUAUUCCCUGCCCUUAAACUUGGCAAAGAGCAUUUUCACCAAAGCAAACAAAUGAACAAUGACAACAAAAACCACAGUAACUAUGUGGAGUGUUAAUUACCUUGAGUAUAAUUUCGUAGUGUAUAUAGAUAUCAAAUCAUCACACUAUAUACUUUAAACAUAUUACUUUUCAAAAAUGAGGUACAGGGGCACCUGGGUGGCCUAGUUGGUUAAGCGUUCCACUCUUUUUUUUUUUUUUUUUAAUUUUUUUUUUCAACUUUUUUUUUUUUUUUUUUUUUUAAUUUUUUUUUCAACGUUUUUUAUUUAUUUUUGGGACAGAGAGAGACAGAGCAUGAACGGGGGAGGGGCAGAGAGAGAGGGAGACACAGAAUCGGAAACAGGCUCCAGGCUCCGAGCCAUCAGCCCAGAGCCUGACGCGGGGCUCGAACUCACGGACCGCGAGAUCGUGACCUGGCUGAAGUCGGACGCGUAACCGACUGCGCCACCCAGGCGCCCCAAGCGUUCCACUCUUGAUCUCAGGUCAGGUCAUGAUCUCAUAGUUCGUGAGUUCGAGCCCCGCAUCGGGCUCCACAUUGACCUUGCAAGUCUGCUUGGGAUUCUCUCUCUCCCUCUCUCUCUCUCCGCCCCUCCUCUCUCUCUCUCUCUCUCAAAAUAAAUAAAUAAAAAUUUUUAAGAUAAACCUUUAAAAAAUGACAUAUAGUUAGCACACUCUGUUCCAAUGGUUUCAGGUAUACCCCGUAGUGAUUUGACAAGUGUAUAUGUAAUGUUAUGCUCACAAGCAUAUCCACCAUCCGUCUCCAUACAACACCAUUGCAACACCAUGGACCGUAUUACCUGUGCGGUACUUUCCAUAACUGUAAGCCUGUACCUCCUUCUCCCCUUCACCCAUUUUGCCUAUCUCCCCACCCCCCCAGACAUACUAUGGUUUUACUUGCCUGUGAUACCUCAAUACAGCCGAAAAGUAAAAUAACAAUAAACAGCUAAACAAUGCCUUGUCUAGGUUCCUUUUGCCAUAGAAGUCGCACUUUUAAAACUUUUGAAACACUUGGGGGCGCGUGGGUGGCUCAGUUAGUUAAGCAUUAGGAUUCUCUCUCUCUCUCUCUCUCUCUCUCUCUCUGUCCCCACUCAUGCUCUCUCUCUCUCUCUCAAAUAAAAAAGAAUUAUGAAAAUCCCAUGACAGAAGGUGCAAGAGAACUAGAUGGCUGUUGAUGAAUCAGUAAGGAUAUAAGGAAGAAUUACGGUGAAAUGAACGGAGGACGGACACAGUCUUCAAUGCCACCCAUGUCCUGGAAACCGCGUAGUCGGCUUAUGUAGCAUCACAUGCUGGUAAAUGUCUCUGCCUUCCCGAGUGCGCUCCAGUGCUUGUCAGGACCCGGACAAAGUUGGCGUCAAUGAUGGAUGCCAGUCACAUCUGGGGAGGUCAGAGGUCAGGGAGGGAAGGGGGGGUGGGGCCCAACAUCCCAGGUUGUGUUGUGUUGUGCUAACCUCAAUUUCCAGGAAAUGACUUCAGGAUGAGUAAAAAGUUUGUUGGCCCUCAGUAGAGUCACAAUGAAUUGAAAUAAAA